rnacentral:lncRNA from 1 species
UUUCUCCAUCCUAGUAAUCAAAUUUGAGCAAAAUCAAAUGGGGCUUUCUAUGAAAGUACCUUUUGUUGAUCUGAACGAGCUGGUAAUUUACAAAAUACCCUUCCUUUGUGAGGAAGGCUAAAGAAAAAAAGAAUCAGUAGCUUUUAAAGCUGGGCCUUAGUGGGACUCUAAAUGCAAUGAAAGCAGUCUGUGUUGAGAGACUGAAAUGCAUUUCAAAGCCAGGCCUGAUUCGGGGUACAAGGAAGAACAGACCUAUGUGCAUUUUGUAGGAAGAAAACUGUGAAUGGAAAAAGGAGAAGGGGAGAGAAACGGGGGAAAUCUGGAUAAUACAUUAAAGUAACCAUAAUUUUGGAGAUGCAUUCAUCUUAUUGAAAAUAUAUUUCCUCAUGGUUGUGAUUCCUCUUCACUCUUUUGAAUUUGGAAGGAUGGCAUACACAUCUGAAAAAUACCACUACUUCCUUCAUUGGACUGCAAGGUAUUUCUGUUUGGAAAAGUAAUGGAGUCCAGUCAACUUCAUUGAUCGCCAAGGACUGUCAAAAUUAUAAAACUUGCUGUGGAGCUCUGACAUGCCAGAAGCCGCUAGAAAAAGAAGUUUGACAUUCAGAAACUUAUCAAGAGGUUCUACUCUUUGGAUAGAGACCAAAAUCAUACUUUGAAUGAUAUGCAAUGCAAGACUCCCAAGAUUCUGGGCAGUGGCAGGGAGGUGCAGCUUCUAGUCUGCCGCAUGAUCACAAUGUCAGCUGGUCCCUCUUCUCAGGUGUAGAUCACCUAUUAUAAUUUUACCUAAUUUUGAUACUCUGAUAAGGAAAGUCCCAGGACUUAUCAGCUGGGAUAGGCCUCACUUACAAGACAGCUCUGUUCAGUAUUUGGAAGAAAGCCUGACAGGUUUCUUCGGAAAAGUGGCCAUCCAUGGAAUGAAUGAAAUGUUCUCUUUCUAUUCCAAUCCAACUUAGAAAUAAUGUUUCAUUCAAGAUAAGGCUCGUGGCUUAGGAGAUUGUGACCUGGCUUGCAUCAUUCUAAGACUUCUAUCGUCUGUUUUCAAAACCCAAGGAGGACCUCCUUUUCUGUGUGAUAGUUCCUCAUGCUUUGCCAGCCACUGGGUCUUUAAGGAAGCUUGCCAAGAGUUCCCGGCUGGGAAGGACAGUUCGAGUUCAUCAUAGACAAUGAGCUGGCACCACAGUUUAAGUGACUCACCAACCUGGUUGCCCACUUCAAAAUGUCAAGAACCACACUAUCUAAUUGAAAGAACUGUGUUUUAGCAAAGUGUAAUUGGAUCGCCUGGCAAGAUCAUCUCAAACUAUGUCUCUGACCUUGCCUUUCAGUGGCUAUUUUGAGCACAAGAGGAGAAAGGAAAUGAUUCCUGAAUUAUAUCUUGUUUUUAAAAAUUAAGAUUAAUUAAUACUUGGUUUUAUGUUCAUUCCAUUGUAGGAACUUAGUGAUUAUUACAAAACAGUCAAAAUAGGUCAUAGCAAAAUGAACGUUUAAGAUUAGGUUAAAACAUUCCUCUGAAAUUUUAGUAUUCACUUUUGAAGUGUCAAUUACUAUAUUUCUGUAAUUUCUCAUUUUUUUCUUGGCUUAGAGUCAAGAUGAAAAAUGAUAUUUGAAUCAAAGACAUUGUUUUGUUAUAUAGCCACUCCUUUCUAAAAUGCAAAUCCACCCUCCCCUCACCAAUGCUUUAUUCUUUGUGCGCGCACACACACACACACACACACACACACACACACACACACACAGACAUACACAGAACCAGCACCCAAAUGGUAGAGGAGGUCCUUCCAAGACUUCUAGGACCUGGAUCAUGUAAGCAGUAGAUGAGAAAAUGAAGUAAGAGAUAUAGAGUAAUAACAAUAAAAGUCAAUGAUUUCAUUUUACAAAAAAGUCAUUGUGUAGUACUCAGAUAUUUUUAAGAGCAAGUAUUAUUAUGACUAAAGUAUAUUAUACUUCUAAAUUAUUAUGAUUCUCAUCUAAUUUCAAGCCACACAUAGGCGCCAUUUGAAAGCAUUUUGUGUUACAACCUAUCAACAAAAAUCAACUAAUAGUUUUAUAACGUGCAUAGGUUUACCCCAUGGGGAAUUAAAAUUUUUAUCUGCAAGUAUUUCUGUUGUUGUGAGACUUUAGGACAAGACAACAUUUGGUGUUAACAUAGAAGAAUAUUCUAUGGCUUUUUUAGCUUUAAAGUUCAUUACUCUAAAAUAAAGUACACGUGGUAUUUUUUUCUUCCUAGUGUUCUCUUAUUAUAUGUAGAGUAUUUUCGGUUGUUGUUUUUAACGUAUACAUUAUUUUUAUUAAGUCAUUUCAUAAAAGAUAAGAUAUAUACUAAUAGACCCUUGGUUUUCUCCUAAUUUAAUUAUUUCAAGUCAAGCAAAAUUGGGCAAUUUUCUUUCAGGAAAAAAAAAAUAUUGAGCAUGAUUUUGAGGUAAAACUGAUUAUUUACAGCAUCUUUUCUCUAAUAGGCUAACAUUUAUGAUGGAUCUUAUUUCAAAGUUGAUUAUUCUCAAAGAAAAGUGGAGAUAUUAGAAUUUCCGAGUAAAUUGCAUUGUUUUAAAAAGUACUUUAAUGCAUUGUUCACAUUGUUGCCAGCUAUUGACCAAAAAAGAGAAGAAGAAAAAAGAAAUAAAAAAAGCAGUAUCUGCUCCAAACGUCAAGUUUUGCAGUUUGAAAGACUUGUACAUUAUAAUUGUUUUUUUCUUUUUUGGAAAGCAGUAGUAAUUAAUACCAAAGGCAUAGACAAUUUAGGGCCAUAACCUCCCUUCCCCCCUCUCCACCUUUUUUUUUUUUUUUUUUUUUUUUUAACUUUAACCAUGAUAGGCAUCUCUGCAAGGUAGGUUUUAACAUAUUUUUUUCCUAAUUUUUUUCCCUCCAUUCAGUAAGAAGGAUAAGCUUUUAGAGUACCCAGUCACCGUGGUAACUGCCAAAAAAAUUCUCCUGAAGUUUGAAGAGGUCAGCUAGCAGGGUCAACAACCCUGGCCUCUCUCUGAGCUCGGUCUAGCAUGCCCCAGCCUGCGGUUGGAGUGUCAGGCCAGAUCUGACCCUGGGAGGUGGACCAUUCUGGCUCUGAUAUAAAUUUUUCGAGUCAGUUCAUGGCCUGGACUCUCCAGGUGGCCUCCAAAAUCGAUUUUGACCCCCUGACCCUGUCUCACGGAGGCAUAGCAUCCACCCUAAGUAAGGAUUUAGCCAGGAAUGACAGCUUUCCACUGAGUGUUAUUGGGGACAGUAUAAACAGUUUGGAAAGCAAGUAAGGAGGUGUGAGGGCUAGCAAUCAUUAAAAGCACAUUAAAAAACAAUUUUUAAAAAUCUUUAUUAGAGAAAGUUGUAAAUGCAUAUCUGUUACAGAAUUCCUGUGAUUUGUAGAGUUUUCUAGUCAGUUUUGAAUAUAAAUAGGUCACAUAUCUUUAUCUUUUUGCAUACUUUGUUACAAAUAUGCAAAUAAGAUAGGCAUACUUGCUACAAAAUAGGUACAGCAGGAAUGUAAUAUGUUCAGAAAAGGCAAACUGGUUAUUAAAACACAUUAACAGGUAAGGAGUUUCUAAUAUUUUAAAUACUAAAAUUUUACAUGUGUAUUUUGAAGUUUUUAAAAUGGAAAAAUAAAGAACCUUUAAAAAACCCAACAGUGUGGAAUAAAGAUAAACUUGUUGCACUCAAGGUACAUUUCUACUUUGUAAAGCAAGAAGCCAAUACACUCAGUUGGAUAAAAAUGAGAGAAAAAUUGUAAAUAUAGAGAGUUACAGCUUAUAGAGCUGAAGAGGAAUAAAACAAAAAAAAGUGUCUCUGAAUAACUUUAUGUAUUUUCAACAGUUUAAGAUAUCAGAAACUUGGAAAAUAAAUAUGAUAUAUAUAUAAAUCAUCA